UACGUAGGGUGCAAGCGUUGUCCGGAAUUAUUGGGCGUAAAGAGCUCGUAGGCGGUUUGUCACGUCUGCUGUGAAAUUUCGAAGCUCAACUUCGAACUUGCAGUGGGUACGGGCAGGCUAGAGUGCGGUAGGGGAGAAGGGAAUUCCUGGUGUAGCGGUGGAAUGCGCAGAUAUCAGGAGGAACACCAAUGGCGAAGGCACUUCUCUGGGCCGUAACUGACGCUGAGGAGCGAAAGCGUGGGGAGCGAACAGGAUUAGAUACCCUGGUAGUCCACGCCGUAAACGGUGGGUGCUAGCUGUGGGCCACAUUCCACGUGGUCCGUGACGAAGUUAACACAUUAAGCACCCCGCCUGGGGAGUACGGCCGCAAGGCUAAAACUCAAAGGAAUUGACGGGGGCCCGCACAAGCGGCGGAGCAUGCGGAUUAAUUCGAUGCAACGCGAAGAACCUUACCAAGGCUUGACAUAUAGAGGAAAAGUGCAGAAAUGUACUCCCCGCAAGGUCUCUAUACAGGUGGUGCAUGGUUGUCGUCAGCUCGUGUCGUGAGAUGUUGGGUUAAGUCCCGCAACGAGCGCAACCCUCGUCCUAUGUUGCCAGCACGUAAUGGUGGGAACUCAUGGGAUACUGCCGGGGUCAACUCGGAGGAAGGUGGGGAUGACGUCAAAUCAUCAUGCCCCUUAUGUCUUGGGCUUCACGCAUGCUACAAUGGCCGGUACAGAGGGCUGCAAUACCGUAAGGUGGAGCGAAUCCCAAAAAGCCGGUCUCAGUUCGGAUUGAGGUCUGCAACUCGACCUCAUGAAGUCGGAGUCGCUAGUAAUCGUAGAUCAGCAACGCUACGGUGAAUACGUUCCCGGGCCU
rnacentral:rRNA from 1 species